rnacentral:rRNA from 1 species
UACGUAGGGUGCGAGCGUUGUCCGGAUUUAUUGGGCGUAAAGAGCUCGCAGGCGGUUUGGUAAGUCGGAUGUGAAAUCCCGGGGCUCAACCCCGGACCUGCAUCCGAUACUGCCAGGCUAGAGGUAGGUAGGGGAGAUCGGAAUUCCUGGUGUAGCGGUGAAAUGCGCAGAUAUCAGGAGGAACACCGGUGGCGAAGGCGGAUCUCUGGACAGUUACUGACGCUGAGGCACGAAAGUGAGGGGAGCAAACAGG